UACGUAGGGUGCAAGCGUUGUCCGGAAUUAUUGGGCGUAAAGAGCUCGUAGGCGGUUUGUCGCGUCUGCUGUGAAAACUGGAGGCUCAACCUCCAGCCUGCAGUGGGUACGGGCAGACUAGAGUGUGGUAGGGGAGACUGGAAUUCCUGGUGUAGCGGUGAAAUGCGCAGAUAUCAGGAGGAACACCGAUGGCGAAGGCAGGUCUCUGGGCCACUACUGACGCUGAGAAGCGGAAAGCAUGGGGAGCGAACAGG
rnacentral:rRNA from 1 species